GCAUCAUCAGGCGUGAAUGGUUCUUGCAAUUGUCUCGCCAAGUCAUCCUUCUCCAGCUCGGUAGCAUUAGAUAGAUUCUCAAUUAAGGUGUCCAUUAUGACCUUGUCAGAUUCAAAUAGUUUGUUCCUCAACUCAAGAAGUAACGAUGAGGCUAUUUGAUUAUCACUGACAGAUCCAUAUUCCCUUGCAUCUGCCUGAGGCUUUGCAUGCACUUGAAGGUCAUCACUAAUGCCAAGAUAAGGAUCAACCUGAAAUGGUAUACACUAACUAUAAAAUAUAUAUUUUUAAUAAAAGCUAGCGCAUGUCAAUAAAACAAAAGGGUAAAUUACAGAAUAGUCCUAUAGUUUGUCAUAAUUAAUAACACGGUCCCUGCAUUUUGAAAAGCAUAUUAAAAGGUCCAGGUAGUUUGAUUCCGUAACCAAUUUAGUCCCGUUCAAACUAACCGUCAGAGACACAUAUACAGACAUUAUUACCCUUACAAUCAGACCAAACAACAACCCCACCCUUUUCAUCUUGCCAUUCUUAUCCUUCAAAUUCGAAAUUUCCUGACAUAAUUUAUUAGUAUUACAAGUCAGUCAUUAAAAAUGAAGAUUAUCUAAACAGUUGUACUAAAAAUACAAAACCAUUCUUAUCUAUUUCCAGUAGAAUCACCGCAUGAUGGCUACUUUCAUGUUCCUAAGUUUAUAUGAUCGCCUAAAAUGUCAUGCAAUCUUGACAAGCAUUUUGUCUUUCACCUUCUAUAGUUUUAAAAUCAAAUGGUAUAUAUCUUUAUAUCUUUUAGAAAAAAAAAUAAUUAAAUUAUACCGGUUGCUAUUAAAAAUAAAAGAUAUUAUAUUAUUACAUUAUUAUGAAGAAAUAUUUAGAGGAAAAUAAUUAAUAAUUAUUUAAAAAUGAAAAUUUA
rnacentral:misc_RNA from 1 species